AGUCAUGUCAAUACUUCGGAGUUCUGAUAGCUGCAUCUUGGAGUGUUUGGCCAUUUGAGCAGCGCACCAACGAAGCUGCAGACCACACACUACCUUGGUUGUCGGUAUUGUUCUUUGAAGCAAGGUGUCAAGUUGCCCUUAAGGACACAAGGGAAACAUCAGAACAUUAGAUGUCCAAGGCAUGGCAUCGUGCACUUGGAGAUGCUGGGCUUGAAGAAGAGCUUUGCCACUCUGGAUCAACCUCGCCACCAAGAACUUUUUAUUUUAUUUUUGGC